rnacentral:lncRNA from 1 species
CAAUUAUUUACCAGGCAAAGUUUUGGCAGGCACAGGGGCCUUUCCCUGUUUGUUUUGCUGAAGCGGGCAGGAAGAGUGAUUUUGGAGGUUGCAUUGUGCCUGCCCAUACCUACCACUGUGGCCACAAAGGCAGAUGAUGAGUGAAGGUACAGAAAAGUUAGAUGACUUGCCCAGGGUCCUUUGGCUGGAAGCUAGCAGAUCUGAGACUUGAGCCAGGCCUCAUCUCUCCAGAGCAGACCCCAGUAUUUUGUAUGGAUGAGUGGAGAUGAAAAAUUAACUGAGGAAUUCAGAUAUAUGGUGGAUUUGCCAGACCCUACUUGCAUACAUGGGCUCUGUUGGCCUCCUCUUUGUAUACAGACAUCGCUGUCAACACCAGCAGAGGAAACAUAUGAAUGGUGGCAAUUCUUUGUUUAUUUUGCUUAUCAGUAAGUAACACACUUGUUGCAAA